AUGGUCAUACCUGUCCCACCAGAGCUUGCCCAGACUGGAGUCCUCUCCAGCUGUUGGAACUCCCAAGCACCCUUGACCUUGCUGGGUCUCAUAUGGAGCCAUAAGGCAGAUACUUAUACCCGCUUUCUUUCCUUCACACGGUUGUCUCCAGGGAAGUGCUGUGCCAAUUUACGUUCUGCCCAGAAGUGGGAGGAUCUAAUCUUCAUACAGGAAGGACCCCAGUCUGAGAGGGCAGCCCUUACCUACUGGCAACCACCCUGGGACCGGAUGACUUGUGGCUCCCUGUUAUGGAAAGAUUUUUUGCCAAGCUGUGCAUUUCAAGGUCGUUGGGCACUCGAGGCCCAUUCUUACUGGUCUCAAGGUUGGAGUGACUUUGAGGCAUGUGGUCAUUUGUCUUAGUUUAUCAGGGGCUGGAGCUUUCAUUUUUAUGGUUUGCUCUGUUCUCCGUGGCCUGAAUGACAGAAGUAUGAGGUAGAUGAUGUUCCUCUUUGGAAAAGUCAUUUUGCUCCAGGAUUUUCUUCUCCAGAGCAUUCCCCUCCUCCCUAGCACACAUUCGCCAGUAUGUGCAUCCCCACCAACUUUGUGUCUCAGCCAUAAAUAAGGAAGUUGGGAAUUCAAGUCUGCUCCCUCUCAUCAUUUCAGUGGCAGCUGGGCUGAGUCUAUCCCAAGGAGAAAAUGAGCAGAUUUCUCAUCAGCCCUGAUGUCGGAGAUGGACUUAGUAGCUAGAGGACUCUAUCUAGCCAUUAUGCAAAGUAAAAGUCCAGGCAGGUCGCUCUCACCUGUAUUAUUCUGCAGCAGAAAUAAACCUCAAGACCAGAGCCA
rnacentral:lncRNA from 12 species